rnacentral:lncRNA from 10 species
AGCUUAGAGGUGGCAGUGGCUCUCUGCGGCUGCGAUUUCUUUCUCGGAGCGUCCUCCCCAUCCCGUUCGGCCUCUGCCUCCACCGUCGUCUCUGUAACCCGUUCCCUGUGGGAGAGUCUCUGUUGCGGUGUUCAGGGGUUUCGGUUUUCUGGCUGAACAGUGAUUAACGCGAGGGAAGGCGCUGACGGCAAGGUGGCAGGAAGAACAUUCCAACACAGACCACAACACCUAUGGACCUGGAAAACAUUGUGCUCAGUGAAAGAAGCCAGACACAGAAGGACAAUGUUGUAUGAGGGACACAUUCCAGCAAAAAGACACAAAGUGACAGAAUGGCUGCCUUUGAGUGGGGGUGAGAAGAGGUGGAUGGCAGGUACCAGAAGAGAAGGGAAUAAAUAUAUGAAGAAAUACAACCCCCUCGGGCAGUGCCUGGCACAGCAUAAAUGCCCAGGAAAAAGAGGCCCAGUUGCUUACGUUCCCGGCGACAGGGCCGGGACCAGCGCCGGCUUCCUGGUGAAGGAGGCCACCCUUUCCUCUUGAGGGGUCUGAGUAUGCAUGUCAGCACCCGGUGGGCACCCAGCACCCAGCUGACCAGGGGCCUUCACCUCUGUGGGGGUUACCGGCCUGGCCCUGAGAACUGGAUGAAAGCUGGAAUAAUUCUUUCUGUAAUAAAGCAAACGCAACCACG